AGCGAUGGCCGCUUGCGAGGUGCUGCAUGGUUGUCGUCAGCUCGUGCCGUGAGGUGUCGGGUUAAGUCCCAUAACGAGCGCAACCCCUACCUGCUAGUUGCCAGCGGGUCAUGCCGGGGACUCUAGCGGAACUGCCAGCGUAAGCUACGAGGAAGGUGGGGAUGACGUCAAAUCAGCACGGCCCUUACGUCCAGGGCUACACACGUGUUACAAUGGCCAGUACAGAGGGCAGCCACCCCGCGAGGGGCGCUAAUCCUAAAAGCUGGUCCCAGUUCGGAUCGGAGUCUGCAACCCGACUCCGUGAAGCUGGAUUCGCUAGUAAUCGCGCAUCAGCCACGGCGCGGUGAAUACGUUCCCGGGCCUU
rnacentral:rRNA from 1 species